GGGUGUUACACUCUACCUUUUCGAGUCUAACUGUACCUAAGCGUUAAAAAUAAACACGUUAAGCCGGUGAAGGCUUAGUAAGAACUACAAGAAUUAAAUAGAUAAAUGAAACAUAACAUAAUAUUUUAAACUUAUUCAACUAAUACAUAUUUACACAACUUAUUCAACUAAUACAUAUUUACACACAUACAAGUUUCUUGAACUAUACCUUACUUUAAUGAAAUUUAACUUACCUUUUGUAAGUUAUUAAACUUACCUCAAUACAUUAAUGAUUCACUUUUGUUCACAACUCAUAUUCUUAUCCUAAAGUAGACUUUAUAGAACAUACCGAAUGUACGGAACAAACACAGAGGUGCAUUAUUAUGCACUAUUAAAUAGAGAGCACUAAUGUGCUAAUAAUCGGAGAGCGCGCUAAGGUCCCUUAAUGGCAUGCCACUAAUAUCCUAGUAGCUCUAAAUUCUGUCUACUUGGGCAUUAAAGCUGCAUUUCAUAUAUUUAAAUACUUUACAUAAAUAUUUCGAAAAAGAUUUCUCAUUUCUCUAUCAUCUACAAUUUAGUCCCCAUUUUACAAAUCACAAAUAUCACACCUUUUUCACACAUAUACUUUUACCACAACAUCAUUACUUAGUGUUCAAACAUUAUACCAUUUCAUAUUCUCCACCUAUAAUUUUCUUUACAAAUUUCAUAAUUUCAUAAUCUAACCUUUUUUUUUAUCCAUUUACAAAUUUAAAUAUAUAUAUAUAUAUAUUACAUUUCUAUUCUAAGUAAUUUCAUACUACAAUAUAAGCAUUUAAAUAAAAAUAAUUUAAAAAUCUUGUAGUACUUACAACAAAAAGGUUGAGAUGAUGUAUUUUCUUCUUCCUUCACUCCUUAGUCUUCUCUUUCCCUUUUUCUUCAAUUAGGUCCUCUCCUUUCUUUUCUUUAUUUUCAAUUUCAUAUAAAACAUAUACCAUUUAUAUGUUAAAAAAACACAAUCAAAUGACUUUCCUAUACUAUUUAAUAAAAAUAAACAUGUAUGAUAUGAUAAUUUUAUCAUUUCUUACCUUAGCUCUUUAAUUUUUACUAAAGAAAUUUCAAAGAAAAAUGAAGGUUUGAAGCUUGGAUGGUUCAUGAAUAGAAUUAAAAGAAAGUUGGAUGGAAGUUGGGGGGAGAAGAAGUAGUGACGGUUUGGUGUUUUGAGAAAAUAUGAUAUCU
rnacentral:lncRNA from 1 species